GACGAACGCUGGCGGCGUGCCUAAUACAUGCAAGUCGAGCGGACCACUUCGGUGGUCAGCGGCGGACGGGUGAGUAACACGUGGGCAACCUGCCUGUAAGACUGGGAUAACACCGGGAAACCGGUGCUAAUACCGGAUAAUCCUUUCCUUCACAUGAAGGAAAGCUGAAAGACGGUUUCGGCUGUCACUUACAGAUGGGCCCGCGGCGCAUUAGCUAGUUGGUGAGGUAACGGCUCACCAAGGCAACGAUGCGUAGCCGACCUGAGAGGGUGAUCGGCCACACUGGGACUGAGACACGGCCCAGACUCCUACGGGAGGCAGCAGUAGGGAAUCUUCCGCAAUGGACGAAAGUCUGACGGAGCAACGCCGCGUGAGCGAUGAAGGCCUUCGGGUCGUAAAGCUCUGUUGUCAGGGAAGAACAAGUACCGGAGUAACUGCCGGUACCUUGACGGUACCUGACCAGAAAGCCACGGCUAACUACGUGCCAGCCGCCGCGGUAA
rnacentral:rRNA from 1 species